CAUGACCACCACAGCUUCUCAAGUAGCUGGAACUACAGUGCUGGAAUUAUAGGCGUGAGCCACUGCGCCCAGCUGAGACAAGAAUCUGAAAGAGUACCUGUGGAAAGCUGCAGCAGUGUGGGUGGAAGGGAGGAAGAUGAGGUAAGAGGAUGCCCUGGAAAAGUGGGAGGGGUCCAGACGACAGACUACCAACCCUGGGAUGCACACAAGUGCUGUUCAACCCACCUGCUUCUCUAGGCUACUGUCCCUCAAAACAGAUUCAGGACAGUGUAUCACAGUGACCUUGACUAUUGGUCUUUGGUAGGUGUCAGGUAUUAUGUGGGCCUCUCUACAAAUAUAAUCUAAUCUGUCUACUUGUCUGUUUUUGUUCAAGCUCUAUUUCAAAUAAAAAUGUUUUGGUUUGUUUAAAAA